rnacentral:tRNA from 1 species
AAGGGCUUAGCUUAAUUAAAGUAAUUGAUUUGCAUUCAGUUGAUGUAAGAUAUAUUCUUGCAGUCCUUA